rnacentral:lncRNA from 1 species
UGGAUGGUUGGACUGGAUGUUCUUGUGGGUCUUUUCCAACCUAGCUAAUUCUAUGAUUGGCAUGAAAUGAGGAUGCUGAGAAUAUGAGCUACAUGGAACAAGAGUGCAAGCAAUGAGGUUACAGACUACUAUAAUGUCUUCUGCCUAAUCUUUAGCACAUUUCAUGCUAAAACAUACAAAAAACAAGGUCUCUAUUUUGUCUUACUGUUCAAAGUUGACAUAUACGUUCUGAGUCGAAAGCUCAUAUUCAAAACCUGUGGCUGCCUGAUAUUCAGAUUUUGAGUUUUGGUACACAGCUGCAUCAAUAAUAUAACAGAGAAGAAAAAAAUGGAACCUUAAGAGAUUCACUGAGGCUAAAAAGAAAUACAUGCAUCUGAAUGAGUAGAGACUUAUCAAAGAAUAAAUAUGUUUGGGAAGAAAUCAAAAUAUCUUCACACAACUGCUACAGGUCCUUGUUGUCUGGAGACAGGAGUGGUACCCUCAGGCUGAAAGACUGCCUGGACUUCAACUUGAGUAUAAGAGAGAAGUGUGCCAACCCUGUAGAUUCACAGGCUCAGCUGGGUGAGUCCAGAAUAUGAGUCCAGAAUAACCAAGGAUCAUUAGGCUUUGUAAAGCUGUUACAGUCCUUCAUUAGGGGCAAGCCAAAACACGUUUCAUAUAGACAUUAAAAAUGCAUAGUGCAUUCAGUGCUCUUAAAUUUUGAGAGCACGUGCAGAAAUAACAGCUCUUCAUUUCAUGUUUUUACAGAUUUCUUUACACGUACUAUGAAAAGAAACAUCGUUUUUUAGAAAUCAUGAAUUUUCUCUGAAAUAGACUCAAAGACUCAUAGAAUCAUCCAGAUUGGAGAAGACCUCUAAGAUCAUCUAGACCAACCAUCAACCUAUCCCCACCAUGCCCAAUCCCAGCAAGGUCUCAGGGAGGAAGUCUCUGUAAAUCUUUUUAAUAAACCAUUUUUCCCUAGUUUGGCCA